rnacentral:rRNA from 1 species
GACGAACGCUGGCGGCGUGCCUAACACAUGCAAGUCAAGGGGAAAGGUUUCUUCGGAGACCGAUUACACUGGCGGACGGGUGAGUAACGCGUAGGUAACCUGCCCUCAAGCUUGGGAUAACCUCUGGAAACGGGGGCUAAUACCGGAUGUGGUCUUGAUGUUGCAUAGCAUUAAGAUUAAAGCUGGGUUUCUAGCACUUGAGGAUGGGCCUGCGUUCCAUUAGCUAGUUGGUGAGGUAACGGCCCACCAAGGCGACGAUGGAUAGCUGGUCUGAGAGGAUGAUCAGCCACACUGGGACUGAGAUACGGCCCAGACUCCUACGGGAGGCAGCGAGUGGGGAAUAUUGCGCAAUGCCCGCAAGGGUGACGCAGCGACGCCGCGUGGGUGAAGAAGCACUAAGGUGUGUAAAGCCCUGUCAGAAGGGAAGAACGGCGAUGUUUCGAAAGGGGCGAUCGUGUGACGGUACCUUCAGAGGAAGCUCCGGCUAACUCCGUGCCAG